rnacentral:rRNA from 1 species
GACGAACGCUGGCGGCGUGCUUAACACAUGCAAGUCGAACGGAAAGGCCCUGCUUUUGUGGGGUGCUCGAGUGGCGAACGGGUGAGUAACACGUGAGUAACCUGCCCUUGACUUUGGGAUAACUUCAGGAAACUGGGGCUAAUACCGGAUAGGAGCUCCUGCUGCAUGGUGGGGGUUGGAAAGUUUCGGCGGUUGGGGAUGGACUCGCGGCUUAUCAGCUUGUUGGUGGGGUAGUGGCUUACCAAGGCUUUGACGGGUAGCCGGCCUGAGAGGGUGACCGGCCACAUUGGGACUGAGCUACGGCCCAGACUCCUACGGGAGGCAGCAGUGGGGAAUAUUGGACAAUGGGCGGAAGCCUGAUGCAGCAACGCCGCGUGCGGGAUGACGGCCUUCGGGUUGUAAACCGCUUUCGCCUGUGACGAAGCGUGAGUGACGGUAAUGGGUAAAGAAGCACCGGCUAACUACGUG